CCUAUGCUGCCGAGAAAAGCCUCUAGCGAGCUGGUACAUGGCCCGUACCCCAAACCGACACAGGUGGUCAGGUAGAGAAUACUAAGGCGAUCGAGAGAACUGUGGUUAAGGAACUCGGCAAAAUGCCCCCGUAACUUCGGGAGAAGGGGGACCAGUCCUGGUGACGACAUUUACUGUCUGAGCUGGGGUUGGUCGCAGAGACCAGAGAGAAGCGACUGUUUACUAAAAACACAGGUCCGUGCGAAGUCGUAAGACGAUGUAUACGGACUGACGCCUCCCCGGUGCUGGAAGGUUAAGAGGACCGGUCAGCCACUUCGGUGGCGAAGCUGAGAAUUUAAGCCCCAGUAAACGGCGGUGGUAACUAUAACCAUCCUAAGGUAGCGAAAUUCCUUGUCGGGUAAGUUCCGACCUGCACGAAUGGCGUAACGACUUCUCUGCUGUCUCAACCACAGACUCGGCGAAAUUGCAGUACGAGUAAAGAUGCUCGUUACGUGCGGCAGGACGAAAAGACCCCGGGACCCUCACUAUAGCUUGGUAUUGGUGUUCGGUUCGGUUUGUGUAGGAUAGGUGGGAGACUGUGAAACUCGCACGCCAGUGUGGGUGGAGUCAUUGUUGAAAGACCACUCUGACCGUAUUGGACAUCUAACCUCGGACCAUGAUCUGGUUCAGGGACAGUGCCUGGUGGGUAGUUUAACUGGGGCGGUUGCCUCCUAAAAAGUAACGGAGGCGCCCAAAGGUUCCCUCAGCCUGGUUGGCAAUCAGGUGUUGAGUGUAAGUGCACAAGAGAGCUUGACUGUGAGACGUACAUGUCGAGCAGGGACGAAAGUCGGGACUAGUGAUCCGGCACCGGCAAGUGGAAGCGGUGUCGCUCAACGGAUAAAAGGUACCCCGGGGAUAACAGGCUGAUCUUCCCCAAGAGUCCAUAUCGACGGGAUGGUUUGGCACCUCGAUGUCGGCUCGUCGCAUCCUGGGGCUGGAGUAGGUCCCAAGGGUUGGGCUGUUCGCCCAUUAAAGCGGCACGCGAGCUGGGUUUAGAACGUCGUGAGACAGUUCGGUCUCUAUCCGCCGCGCGCGUAAGAAACUUGAGGAAACCUGUCCCUAGUACGAGAGGACCGGGACGGACGAACCUCUGGUGUGCCAGUUGUUCCACCAGGAGCACCGCUGGUUAGCUACGUUCGGAAGGGAUAACCGCUGAAAGCAUCUAAGCGGGAAGCCUGUUCCAAGAUGAGGUUUCUCACCACCUAGCGUGGUUAAGGCCCCCCACAGACCAUGGGGUUGAUAGGCCGGAACUGUAAGCACAGCAAUGUGUUCAGGUGACUGGUACUAAUCGGCCGAGGACUUAC
rnacentral:rRNA from 1 species